CCUGGUAUCCGGAGUAGGAGCAGUAGAAAGGGCAGACAAAGCGUUUCAGCCCUUUGCUAUAAGGUCCUCUGUACUUAUCAGCAAAUUGGAACACCUGGUAAAAAAAACAAGAUUCACCAUACAUUAGAUCAAAUGCUGGUUUCAAAGUUGGAUGAUGAUGGGAUUCAAUGUUUGCAUUUACAUACCGUGAUAGCCCUUUUGAGCAGGAGCCUGGAGUAAGAAGGGUCACACCUCCUGAAAACCAAAGAAGCAGCAGCAAGUGCAGCAGCGGUUUCGCCAGCAACAUCGGAACCAGGUGAGUUCUUGUCUACUUUGAAUACACUUCUAGGAGUAUCCAUGUCCUCUGGUCUCUCCCAGCAAGCAUGGUCCUUUGUCGCAUCACCAACCUAAAAGAUAAAGAAUCCUCAUUUCUUUGUUACCUUUGAAUUCUUUUUGUGAACACAGAUGAAAAUGUGGGUUUGUAUACGUACCUGAACAUAGAUGGUGUCUGGAUGUGCAGUAGCUUUGAGAAGGUAAUCAGUAGCCCAACGGAUAGCUUCUCUAGCAUUUGAAAGCUCACCUUUCAUCAACCCACCAAACUCAAGCACACUCCAUGACAG
rnacentral:lncRNA from 1 species